CUUCUCCAUGAUUACUCAGUUCUUGGAAGAGACUUGGUUGUUCCAAACCUCUUCCAUUUAAGAAUUAUGGAGGCCAUUGUGGUCUUGAAAACCUUAAUGCAUUUAAAUUUUUCUAGUCUUACCCAUAUAUGUGCUACGACACCAUGCUGUCAAAGUGCUCUGCAAGCAGCUCCUUUACAUCAUGGCUUUGUUUUUGAUCUGAUAUGCAUUUACAGCUGUGAGACUUUAUAUGGUCCUCGAUUUAAU